rnacentral:sRNA from 1 species
AGGAGUUAUUCUCAUAACUAUCUGAAGAGUUGCACCUUCACCUUGAUUUCAGUGAUGGAAAUGAAGAGGGCAAUCAUAGAGGAAUACAAGAGGAGAUGUCUGUGGAAGCUGUUGGAUGCUGGGCAUUGUUUCUUCAUGGAGGCUCAGGAACCUCACAAGAAAUUUACACACCUCCCCCAUGCCUCAGGUUACACAGUGGUGAACAACUGCUGAGGCUAGAACCUGGACCCCUGACUCCUGUUUCAUUGGGGUUGGACACGAGACCUCUUCCAAUACAUUGUGGAUAUGGCUGUAACCAUUGGACGCUAUUCCCCUCCAAAGCAGACAGCCCUUGCAGUAACCAUUUCAGUCUAGACAUGAAAAUGCAGAGAUGUGGAACGCAGUCAUAGUGGAUACAUCAACAUACAACUUCUGCAUAUGAAGCUCAGGGAUUAAUGAGGUGGUGAUUUAAUUGAGUUCAAGAGAGUGUGUGGUGGCAGGACACUGGGCCCACCAUGGAAUUGGGAUGUGUAUGUCUGGCAUGGUAGCAACCUGCCUUGAGAACUGGACAAGUAGAGAGAUUGUUGCCGGACUCAGAGAGUGGCCAUUGGCAGUGUGAUAUGGGAUGGAGCUUAGCAGGUGUCCAUGAAAAAAGUACCCUAAAAGGAAGAUGCAGCCAUCCACGAUUUAGGAAGGAAAAGGAGGUAAUUUGGCCCUUACGGUUAUUAAUC